GACGAACGCUGGCGGCGUGCUUAACACAUGCAAGUCGAACGGAAAGGCCCUGCUUUUGUGGGGUGCUCGAGUGGCGAACGGGUGAGUAACACGUGAGUAACCUGCCCUUGACUUUGGGAUAACUUCAGGAAACUGGGGCUAAUACCGGAUAGGAGCUCCUGCUGCAUGGUGGGGGUUGGAAAGUUUCGGCGGUUGGGGAUGGACUCGCGGCUUAUCAGCUUGUUGGUGGGGUAGUGGCUUACCAAGGCUUUGACGGGUAGCCGGCCUGAGAGGGUGACCGGCCACAUUGGGACUGAGAUACGGCCCAGACUCCUACGGGAGGCAGCAGUGGGGAAUAUUGGACAAUGGGCGGAAGCCUGAUGCAGCAACGCCGCGUGCGGGAUGACGGCCUUCGGGUUGUAAACCGCUUUCGCCUGUGACGAAGCGUGAGUGACGGUAAUGGGCAAAGAAGCACCGGCUAACUACGUG
rnacentral:rRNA from 1 species